rnacentral:rRNA from 1 species
UAGCAUAAUCAUUUGUUUUUUAAUUGAAAACUAGAAUGAAAGGUUUAAUAAAAAAUAAUCUUUAUUAAUUUUAAAAAAUUUGAAUUUGUUUUUUUAGUUAAAAAACUAAAAUUUCAUAAAAAGACGAUAAGACCCUAUAAAGCUUUAUAAUAUUAAAUUUAUUAAUUUAUUAGAAAUUUUUAGUUAAUUUUUUUUUAUUAUUAAAUUGGGGUGAUUUAAAGAUUUAAAAAACUCUUUAAUUUUAAUUUUUUCAUAUUUUUAUGUAUUUUGAUCCUUUAUUUUUUAAGAUUAUUAAAAUAAGUUACUUUAGGGAUAACAGCGUAAUUUUUUUGAAGAGUUCUAAUCGAUAAAAAAGAUUGCGACCUCGAUGUUGAAUUAAGAUAAAUAUUAGGUGUAGAAGUUUAAUUUUU